GUUAAACAGCGAAACGUUCCCGAGCUGGUCGGAGGAGAUGGUUGGAUGAAGGAGCCUCCUGAAACCUGUUGUGUUGUGUACUGUGCGGCCUGCUCGACCAGUCUCUCCCGCCCACAAACUUUCCAAGUCUCUCAGAUAGGGGCAGCCCUCCCCCCGCCGCCUCACAGACUCUCCUCUCUUUCCUCGGAAAGUCUCCCGUUUGAACUGCUUGGGGGGGGAACCAAGAGUGGAAGCGCAAGGAAGGUCUGUACGGAGAACAAGCACGAACAAUGGAAGGAAGAUGCGAAAACACAAACAUCCCUCCCACCCACUUCAGCAAACACUGGUUCCUCACCUGUGGCAGAGUAUGCAGAUUCAGCAUUGGAUUACUUCCCCAUCUCAGAAUCCACAUUGGAGUGGAAAAAAGUCUUCAGCCAGACAGGUCCAGAUGGAGGUGGAGGCCAGGCUUGAUGAGGACAUCAUUGAACCGAGCCAAAGCGAGUGGUGUUCACCAAUCAUCUUAGUUCCCAAACUGGACAGGACUCAACGAUUCUGCAUGGAUUAUUGGAAGGUCAACAGUGUUACAAAAUCAGACUCAUAUCCAAUUCCUAGAUUGGAAGACUGUAUCAAGAAAGUUGGACAAGCCAAUUACAUCACCAAGUUGGACUUAAUGCAUAGUUACUGGCAGGUACCUUUAUCAGAGACAGUGAAAGAAAUUUCUGCGUUUGUAACCCCAAAUGGGCUAUAUUAGCUUGGGAUGAAGAACGCACAGCCAUAUUCCAAAGACUCAUGAACAGAGUUGUGGCUGAGUUAACAAACUGCGCAGUCUAUAUUAAUGAUGUCGUGAUCUUCAGUAAAUCCUGGAAAGGUCACAUAGUACAGUUGACAGAGUUCUUUAAACGAUUAUGAGAAGCAAAUCUGGUGAAAAUUUAAAUAAAAUGGAAUUCACGACAGCAGAAUUGGGAUAUAACAUCGGUCAUGGAAGGUUGACCCCACGGAACACAAAGGUGAAGGCCAUUGAGGAAUUUCCAAUACCAAUCUCCAAGAAAGAGGUGCUUCGAUUCUUAGAACUCAGGGGAUUCUAUUGGAAAUUUGUUCCAAGCUUCAGCAGUGUAGUGGCACCGUUAAAUGAUUUGCUGAAUAAGAACACAAAGUGUGGGUGGACAGAACAAUG